GGGGACGGGCCGCCUCACAGACAGCCCCGUCUGUCACACCCCGCUGAGGAGCUCGGCCUUUCCCGCCAGGUGAUCAUGCUUUGGGAUUGUCAUAGUUUAAGUUAUUCCUCUGGGCUCUGCCACCCAGCAAAUUAAGAGGACAAGAUUCUUCCCAGGGGCUUAUGAUCUGGGAAUAUGAGCAGCUUGUUUUCAUGAGAUCUGCACCCUGACCUGGCCUACCAUUAGGAGCUGCUGUGUUUAUGGUUCUAUUGUUUUUAGUUGUUUCUUGCACUUUUCACCAUUAACUGUAUAUUAAGAUUUUUGAAAAGUUAAUGCUUAUAGGGAUAAUUAUGCUUGUACAAGAAACAUUAAAACUAUUUUAAAGUGA